GACGUAGGGGCCGAGCGUUGUCCGGAGUUACUGGGCGUAAAGCGCGCGCAGGCGGACCGUCGCAUCGUCGGUGAAAGCCCCCCGCUCACCGGGGGAGGGUCCGGCGAGAUGGACGGUCUGGAGGCAGGGAGAGGCCAGUGGAAUUCCGGGUGUAGUGGUGAAAUGCGUAGAGAUCCGGAGGAACACCGGUGGCGAAGGCGGCUGGCUGGACCUGUCCUGACGCUGAGGCGCGAAGGCGUGGGGAGCGAACGGG
rnacentral:rRNA from 1 species